UACGGAGGGUGCGAGCGUUGUCCGGAAUUAUUGGGCGUAAAGGGCUCGUAGGCGGUCUGUUGCGUCGGGAGUGAAAACUUACAGCUUAACUGUGAGCGUGCUUUCGAUACGGGCAGACUUGAGGCAUUCAGGGGAGAACGGAAUUCCUGGUGUAGCGGUGAAAUGCGCAGAUAUCAGGAGGAACACCGGUGGCGAAGGCAGGUCUCUGGGCCACUACUGACGCUGAGAAGCGAAAGCAUGGGGAGCGAACAGG
rnacentral:rRNA from 1 species